rnacentral:misc_RNA from 1 species
AAGUCGUAACAAGGUUUCCGUAGGUGAACCUGCGGAAGGAUCAUUACAAAUCCAUCACGUCUCCUUGUGAGACCACGUUGAAAUGUGCUUGUGUUGUGCAGCAAGAGAAAAGGGAAGGGGGGGGGAGGGAGUUGGUGAGGAGAGCAAUCUCCCUUAUCCUCUCCGCCCUCUCUCUCUCUCUCUCUCUUGCUCACAUACGCGAACUAGUUGAUAAUUGUUGUGCAAGUGUAUUGUUUCUAAAUCAGUACAACUUAUAACAAUGGAUCUCUAGGCUCUU